GUGAGGAAUUUUCCGCAAUGGGCGAAAGCCUGACGGAGCAAUGCCGCGUGAAGGAUGAAGGCCUAUGGGUUGUAAACUUCUUUUCUCAGAAAAGAAUUAUGACGGUAUCUGAGGAAUAAGCAUCGGCUAACUCUGUGCCAGCAGCCGCGGUAAGACAGAGGAUGCAAGCGUUAUCCGGAAUGAUUGGGCGUAAAGCGUCUGCAGGUUGUUUAAAAAGUAUUCUGUCAAAGAUUAGGGCUUAACCCUAGAUAGGCAGAAUAAACUUUUAAGCUAGAGUUUGGUAGAGGCAGAGGGAAUUCCCGGUGGGGCGGUGAAAUGCGUAGAUAUCGGGAGGAACACCAAAGGCGAAGGCACUCUGCUGGGCCAAUACUAACACUGAGAGACGAAAGCGAGGGGAGCAAAUGGGAUUAGAAACCCCGGUAGUCC
rnacentral:rRNA from 1 species